GUGAACGCUGGCGGCAUGCCUUACACAUGCAAGUCGAACGGCAGCACGGAGCUUGCUCUGGUGGCGAGUGGCGAACGGGUGAGUAAUAUAUCGGAACGUACCCUGGAGUGGGGGAUAACGUAGCGAAAGUUACGCUAAUACCGCAUACGAUCUAAGGAUGAAAGUGGGGGAUCGCAAGACCUCAUGCUCGUGGAGCGGCCGAUAUCUGAUUAGCUAGUUGGUAGGGUAAAAGCCUACCAAGGCAUCGAUCAGUAGCUGGUCUGAGAGGACGACCAGCCACACUGGAACUGAGACACGGUCCAGACUCCUACGGGAGGCAGCAGUGGGGAAUUUUGGACAAUGGGCGAAAGCCUGAUCCAGCAAUGCCGCGUGAGUGAAGAAGGCCUUCGGGUUGUAAAGCUCUUUUGUCAGGGAAGAAACGGUGAGGGCUAAUAUCUCUUGCUAAUGACGGUACCUGAAGAAUAAGCACCGGCUAACUACGUGCCAGCAGCCGCGGUAAUACGUAGGGUGCAAGCGUUAAUCGGAAUUACUGGGCGUAAAGCGUGCGCAGGCGGUUUUGUAAGUCUGAUGUGAAAUCCCCGGGCUCAACCUGGGAAUUGCAUUGGAGACUGCAAGGCUAGAAUCUGGCAGAGGGGGGUAGAAUUCCACGUGUAGCAGUGAAAUGCGUAGAUAUGUGGAGGAACACCGAUGGCGAAGGCAGCCCCCUGGGUCAAGAUUGACGCUCAUGCACGAAAGCGUGGGGAGCAAACAGGAUUAGAUACCCUGGUAGUCCACGCCCUAAACGAUGUCUACUAGUUGUCGGGUCUUAAUUGACUUGGUAACGCAGCUAACGCGUGAAGUAGACCGC
rnacentral:rRNA from 1 species